rnacentral:rRNA from 1 species
UAAAUACCGGAUAGGACCCAUGCCAUGCAUGUGGUGUGGUGGAAAGCUUUUGCGGUGUGGGAUGGGGCCCGCGGCCUAUCAGCUUGUUGGUGGAGUGAUGGCCUACCAAGGCGACGACGGGUAGCCGGCCUGAGAGGGGUGUCCGGCCACACUGGGACUGAGAUACGGCCCAGACUCCUACGGGAGGCAGCAGUGGGGAAUAUUGCACAAUGGGCGCAAGCCUGAUGCAGCGACGCCGCGUGGGGGAUGACGGCCUUCGGGUUGUAAACCUCUUUCACCAUCGGCGAAGCCCAUGAUUUUUGUUGUGGGUGACGGUAGGUGGAGAAGAAGCACCGGCCAACUACGUGCCAG